AUUUGAAAUGAGAGCUGAUUUUAUUUGAAAUCUUAAUCUCUUCUCUUGCUGUCUUCGUCCGCCUUUAGUAGGCAUCGAGGUAAUACAAAAGAAUUAUCAAUGUUCCGAGGAAGUGGCGUAAGACGGGGGCCACGCUUAUUGGCAGCGACAGUCGUAACAACAACCUCGGAUACUCGUAUAUAUGAACUUGAAUAUAU